UGACCUUUGGUAUGCACUGGCUUUACUGAUUCCUCCUUCUUGACGAACCGUGAUGUCAUUAAUUUGGUGUUGCGGGAAAUCAGGACUGUUACUUUGAAAAAAUUAGAGUGUUUAAAGCAGGCUAACGCUUGAAUACAUUAGCAUGGAAUAAUGAAAUAGGACGUUAAUCCUAUUUUGUUGGUUUCUAGGAUCGACGUAAUGAUUAAUAGGGAUAGUUGGGGGCAUUAGUAUUCAAUUGUCAGAGGUGAAAUUCUUGGAUUUAUUGAAGACUAACUACUGCGAAAGCAUUUGCCAAGGAUGUUUUCAUUAAUCAAGAACGAAAGUUAGGGGAUCGAAGACGAUCAGAUACCGUCGUAGUCUUAACCAUAAAUUAUGCCGACUAGGGAUCGGAUGAUGUUAAUUCUUUAAUGACUCAUUCGGCGCCUUACG
rnacentral:rRNA from 1 species